CCUCCUUUCUAAGGAAAUCGAAAAUAAUAUUUUCGAUUUAAAAAAAACCGGUAAUGUGACCGUCCUCAUUUCUCUUCUUUUAAUGUCUCUGACUAAAAAUAAUGUAAUGGGCUAGUAGCUCAGUUGGUUAGAGCGCGCGCUUGAUAAGCGUGAGGUCGGAGGUUCAAGUCCUCCCUGGCCCACCAUUUUUUAUAGGGGGAUUAGCUCAGCUGGGAGAGCGCCUGAUUUGCAUUCAGGAGGUCGUCGGUUCGAUCCCGAUAUCCUCCACCAUGACUAGUUGAUUAUCUUUUUUUGUUCUUUAAAUAGUAAAUAUGAAAUUAAUAACUGAUCAAAUAAUUAAAAUUUAAGAUUAAAAUACGUAUAGGUUUUUCUCUGUACGUAAUUGCAAUCAAGCGCAAAAGGGCAUUUAGUGGAUGCCUUGGCAUCAAGAGACGAUGAAGGACGUGGCAGG
rnacentral:tRNA from 1 species